AGUGAACGCUGGCGGCAGGCCUAAUACAUGCAAGUCGAACGGCAGCACAGUGGAGCUUGCUCCAUGGGUGGCGAGUGGCGGACGGGUGAGGAAUACAUGGGAAUCUGCCCAGUCGUGGGGGAUAACGUAGGGAAACUUACGCUAAUACCGCAUGCGCCCUUCGGGGGAAAGCCGGGGACCUUCGGGCCUGGCGCGAUUGGAUGAGCCCAUGUUCGAUUAGCUAGUUGGCGGGGUAAAGGCCCACCAAGGCGACGAUCGAUAGCUGGUCUGAGAGGAUGAUCAGCCACACUGGGACUGAGACACGGCCCAGACUCCGACGGGAGGUAGCAGUAGGGAAUAUUGGACAAUGGGCGCAAGCCUGAUCCAGCCAUGCCGCGUGAGUGAAGAAGGCCCGCGGGUUGUAAAGCGCUUUUGUCCGGGAAGAAAAGCAUCGGGCUAAUACCUCGGUGUUCUGACGGUACCGGAAGAAUAAGCACCGGCUAACUUCGG
rnacentral:rRNA from 1 species